GACGAACGCUGGCGGCGUGCCUAAUACAUGCAAGUAGAACGCUGAAGAGAGGAGCCUGCUCUUCUUGGAUGAGUUGCGAACGGGUGAGUAACGCGUAGGUAACCUGCCUUGUAGCGGGGGAUAACUAUUGGAAACGAUAGCUAAUACCGCAUAACAAUGGAUGACACAUGUCAUUUAUUUGAAAGGGGCAAUUGCUCCACUACAAGAUGGACCUGCGUUGUAUUAGCUAGUAGGUGAGGUAACGGCUCACCUAGGCGACGAUACAUAGCCGACCUGAGAGGGUGAUCGGCCACACUGGGACUGAGACACGGCCCAGACUCCUACGGGAGGCAGCAGUAGGGAAUCUUCGGCAAUGGGGGCAACCCUGACCGAGCAACGCCGCGUGAGUGAAGAAGGUUUUCGGAUCGUAAAGCUCUGUUGUAAGUCAAGAACGAGUGUGAGAGUGGAAAGUUCACACUGUGACGGUAGCUUACCAGAAAGGGACGGCUAACUACGUG
rnacentral:rRNA from 1 species